rnacentral:misc_RNA from 1 species
GCAAACUUGGUCAUUUAGAGGAAGUAAAAGUCGUAACAAGGUUUCCGUAGGUGAACCUGCGGAAGGAUCAUUAAUGAAUUUUAUUGACAGGGUUGUCGCUGGCCAACUGGCAUGUGCACGCCUUGCUCAUAUUCAUCCAUCUUACCUCUGUGCACUCUUCAUAGUUGGUUCAGUCGAAAAGGGUAUCACCCUCUGAGCCAUUCUAUGCAUUUAUACAAACAUGUCUGUAUUUGAAUGUCACUUGCGAGUUAUAACGCAUAUAAAUAUAACUUUCAGCAACGGAUCUCUUGGCUCUCGCAUCGAUGAAGAACGCAGC